rnacentral:lncRNA from 1 species
UACAAUUGGCUGCGCAAUUCAAUGGAUAAAAACGUUGCUUUAUUUGUCUCUCAUUUUCUGGCCCGUUCUUUUCCCACGUUUCUCAACCAGCGACUCCCCAAAACAAAAGCCUCCCACAGUAAACCGAGCACGCACAUAAAAAGAGCUUCUCUGUGCGAGGAUCAAGUUAGUGGUCCGCAAACAUUAACCAAACAGAAGCACAAAGCAGGGGUGGGAAGGGGAGGAGCUGGAUGCCAGGGUCAGGAAAGAAACAAUCAGAAGGGUUUAGGAACAUCCAAAUCUCCUCAGCGGUUAAACCGACCCCAAACCACUUCUGGGAAACCACCGGUAUCCACUGCUUUGGGGAACUCUGGAUGCUCGUUAUGCCAAACGCUCUCAAAGUUUAGGAAGGACGACCGCGUCGCCUGCCUCCCUCCCUCGCCCAGAGCCGGGAGCAAUGCUGGGGCACGAAAGAGGACUUGGGAAGGAUCCGGUCCUUACUUUCCCCGCGGGUCCCGGACCCGCAGCCCCCGGGUUGUGAGGCGGAAGCCAAAGGGGCGAACCCAGCGGAGCCGGCGUGCACAGACCCUGCCCCGCGGUCCAAGAGGGGUGCCUCCGGCCCGGGACAGCGGGGCUCCCGGAGCCCGAAAGCCCCACGAGCGGCGACAGCGGGGCCCGGCGCUGACGAACAGAGGAAGCGAGUACAACGGAGCCGCCGUCGGGAACAUGCCCUCUCUGCGCCCCUCUCCGCCCCGCCUCCCUCCUAGGUGAAGGAAGAUGAUUUCCCCCCCAUCUUGACCACCCCCCAGUCUUCGCCGCCAAAAACGGACUCCGCCGGCUAUCCUCGGCCCGGUACCAGUUGUUGGAUCCAAGAGAAUUCCGGAACCCAAACGGCUCGCUCAAAGCACUUUAUUGGCAGUGAAACCGCAAGUAACCCGGAGCCCUCGGCGCGACCACGGCUAGAAUCAGAGCCUAAGGCGUGUGAGCUCAGCCAUCCCACGUCUGUCUUCACGCUCAUACGCAAGCCCGACACACCGGGGCUCCCACUUAAUGAAUACUGAAGAGUAGGGCUGUCCCUACCGCUUCUCACUUCCUUGUUUUCAUCUUUUCGUUAUUAUUAAGCGACCUAACACAAUAAACAUAUUACCUUGUUGGUAACCCUUUUGUAAAGUCAUUCUGAAAGUGCUGUUUGACUCCGUUGCUUGGGUAAUAAGCACGCCUGGGUGAUUCUUGCCCCCUACUGGCUGCGCAUCCUACAAGCCUAGUGCUGAAAGCAAACCAAGUAGCUGGAACAGUUGGAGGUUACAGUGUGAACUCUUCCAGAGACAAAGUAUUCGGGGAAAGAAAGGAAAAAGUAGGCACAGAAAGAAUAGGAAACUUCAGUGUUUGUACACAUAGAUAUGUAUUAUAUAUCUAUGUAUACAUUUAUAAAUAUUUUUAAAGUGCUAACUAAUCGCUUUACUAAUUACAUUAUUUCAUUUAA